UCAGAGUUCAGCAGCCACAGGGUUCCCAUGAACGUGGCUCUGACCUAAGCCAAGCUGUGUGAAACACUCGACCAUGAAAACAGCUUGCUCUGCAAACCUCUGACUGUUCCAAACUGAGGCCGACCAGAAGCUUCCAUUUGACACUGCGAUAGGAGGAGGCAGAAUCUCAUUUUUACAUGAAGAGAAGGCAGCUGAGAGCUGAUGUUUUGGUCUUGCAUACUGCCACAUUCCUGGCCGGGGGCUGGGGGCUGUCUGAGAUACAAAGAGGAGUAAGACGCAGCCCUGCUCUCAAGGAUCUCUGAAUCUGGUUGAGGACAGUGUGAAUGUUUCACAGAAAAUACCAGGAAGUUAGCUGGAAGAGGACUGCAAAAGGCAGAGCCAUGGAUCCAGGAUUGUGAGAUCCUCGCCUGCAGCCUGACAGCCAAGGGAAAGCAGGAGUAUCCACUGUCAUACAGUGAAGAUGCCAAGCCAUGAAACAGACAGCAAAUGACCUCUCUCCAUCUGUUUGUGAACACGGGGUUGGGCAGAGGGUGCUUAAAAAAUGUAUGCCAUGUGAUGAAAAUAUAUGUCUACACGAAAACUUAUACAUGAAUGCUCAUAGCAAUGCUAUUAGAAUAGCCAGAAGGUGGAAACAAUCCAAAUGUCCAUCAACAGAUGAAUGGACAUAUAUUCAUAAACAGAUGAGUGUGGUAUAUCUAUACAAUGGAAUAUUAUUCGGCCAUAGAAAGGGAUGGAGUACUGACACAUGCUACAACGUGGAUGACCCUCGACAACAUUAUGC